rnacentral:rRNA from 1 species
AGAUUGAACGCUGGCGGCAUGCCUUACACAUGCAAGUCGAACGGCAGCACGGGAGCAAUCCUGGUGGCGAGUGGCGAACGGGUGAGUAAUACAUCGGAACGUGCCCAAUCGUGGGGGAUAACGCAGCGAAAGCUGUGCUAAUACCGCAUAAGAUCUACGGAUGAAAGCAGGGGAUCGCAAGACCUUGCGCGAAUGGAGCGGCCGAUGGCAGAUUAGGUAGUUGGUGAGGUAAAGGCUCACCAAGCCUUCGAUCUGUAGCUGGUCUGAGAGGACGACCAGCCACAACUGGGACUGAGACACGGCCCAGACUCCUACGGAGGCAGCAGUGGGAAUUUGGACAUGGCGAAAGCCUGAUCAGCCAUGCCGACGUGCAGG